rnacentral:rRNA from 1 species
UACGAAGGGGGCUAGCGUUGCUCGGAAUUACUGGGCGUAAAGCGCACGUAGGCGGCUUUCUAAGUCGGGGGGUGAAAUCCUGGAGCUCAACUCCAGAACUGCCUUCGAUACUGGAGCUUGAGUCCGGGAGAGGUGAGUGGGAACUGCGAGUGGUAGAGGUGAAAUUCGUAGAUAUUCGCAAGAACACCAGUGGCGAAGGCGGCUCACUGGCCCGGUACUGACGCUGAGGUGCGAAAGCGUGGGGAGCAAACAGGG